ACAACGCUAUUUUGUUCCGAGGACUUGCUGAAGCACUACCAUGCAAAGUGACGCCCAUGCAUUGAGCAGCAUUUCCUUUACUAUGUUCCUAGAGCCAGCCGCGUCCCACCACCGAUGAUUUCACACGUACUCGGAGUACUGAAACAAGGACUGCAAAAAGUGUGAAUAGUGUAAUGCACUCGUCUCGCCGUACCGAAAGGAAGUCUGCUCUUCCCAGCAAUUAACAGAAUAAUACAAGCCUCACAUCUCAGUGGCAAAAUGUCGCACACUGAAUACGUAUUGAUGGCCAACAGCACGAAAAUUGCC